rnacentral:rRNA from 1 species
AGAGUUUGAUCCUGGCUCAGGAUGAACGCUGGCGGCAUGCCUAAUACAUGCAAGUCGAACGAGAGGAAGGAAAGCUUGCUUUCCUGAAUCUAGUGGCGAACGGGUGAGUAACACGUAGGUAACCUGCCCAUGUGCCCGGGAUAACUUCUGGAAACGGAUGCUAAAACCGGAUAGGUAGCAGACAAGCAUUUGACUGCUAUUAAAGUGGCCUUGGCCAUGAACAUGGAUGGACCUGCGGUGCAUUAGCUGGUUGGUGAGGUAACGGCCCACCAAGGCGACGAUGCAUAGCCGGCCUGAGAGGGCGGACGGCCACAUUGGGACUGAGACACGGCCCAAACUCCUACGGGAGGCAGCAGUAGGGAAUUUUCGUCAAUGGGGGGAACCCUGAACGAGCAAUGCCGCGUGAGUGAGGAAGGUCUUCGGAUCGUAAAGCUCUGUUGUAAGAGAAAAACGGCACUCAUAGGGAAUGAUGAGUGAGUGAUGGUAUCUUACCAGAAAGUCACGGCUAACUACGUGCCAGCAGCCGCGGUAAUACGUAGGUGGCGAGCGUUAUCCGGAAUGAUUGGGCGUAAAGGGUGCGUAGGUGGCAGAUCAAGUCUGGAGUAAAAGGUAUGGGCUCAACCCGUACUGGCUCUGGAAACUGAUCCGCUAGAGAACAGAAGAGGACGGCGGAACUCCAUGUGUAGCGGUAAAAUGCGUAGAUAUAUGGAAGAACACCGGUGGCGAAGGCGGCCGUCUGGUCUGGAUUCUGACACUGAAGCACGAAAGCGUGGGGAGCAAAUAGGAUUAGAUACCCUAGUAGUCCACGCCGUAAACGAUGAGAACUAGGUGUUGGGGGAAUAACUCAGUGCCGCAGUUAACGCAGUAAGUUCUCCGCCUGGGGAGUAUGCACGCAAGUGUGAAACUCAAAGGAAUUGACGGGGGCCCGCACAAGCGGUGGAGUAUGUGGUUUAAUUCGACGCAACGCGAAGAACCUUACCAAGUCUUGACAUCCCUUGACAGGCAUAGAAAUAUGUUUUCUCUUCGGAGCAAGGAGACAGGUGGUGCAUGGUUGUCGUCAGCUCGUGUCGUGAGAUGUUGGGUUAAGUCCCGCAACGAGCGCAACCCUUAU